rnacentral:rRNA from 1 species
AGACGAAGGUGGCAACCGUUGUUCGGAAUCACUGGGCAUAAAGCGCACGUAGGCGGGAGUGCAAGUCGGGUGUGAAAUCCCUCGGCCCAACCGAGGAACUGCGCCCGAAACUGCAUUUCUUGAGGACAGAAGGGGAGCGUGGAAUUCCUGGUGGAGCGGUGAAAUGCGUUGAUAUCAGGAGGAACACCGGCGGCGAAGGCGACGCUCUGGUCUGUUUCUGACGCUAAGGUGCGAAAGCCAGGGGAGCAAACGGGAUUAGAUACCCCAGUAGUCC